rnacentral:tRNA from 1 species
GGCGCCGUGCCUGAAGUAUAGGGUCACUUUGAUAGGGUGAAUCAUGGGGGUUAAAGUCCCCCCGACUCCU